rnacentral:rRNA from 1 species
GACGAACCGUGCGAACGUUGUUCGGAUUCACUGGGCUUAAAGGGCGCGUAGGCGGAUUCGCAAGUCCGGGGUGAAAUCUUUCGGCUCAACCGGAAAAGUGCCUUGGAUACUGCGAGUCUCGAGGGAGACAGGGGCCGCGGGAACUUCCGGUGGAGCGGUGAAAUGCGUUGAUAUCGGAAGGAACGCCGGUGGCGAAAGCGCGCGGCUGGAUCUCUUCUGACGCUGAGGCGCGAAAGCUAGGGGAGCAAACGGGG